UACGGAGGGUGCUAGCGUUGUUCGGAAUCACUGGGCGUAAAGCGCGUGUAGGCGGCCUGCGAAGUCUGAUGUGAAAUCCCGGGGCUCAACCCCGUGACUGCACCCGAAACUGCCCGGCUAGAGGUAGGUAGGGGAGAUCGGAAUUCCUGGUGUAGCGGUGAAAUGCGCAGAUAUCAGGAGGAACACCGGUGGCGAAGGCGGAUCUCUGGGCCUUACCUGACGCUCAGGCGCGAAAGCUAGGGGAGCAAACAGG
rnacentral:rRNA from 1 species